rnacentral:rRNA from 1 species
AACUUUCAGCAACGGAUCUCUUGGCUCUCGCAUUGAUGAAGAACGCAGCGAAUUGCGAUAAGUAAUGUGAAUUGCAGAUUUUCAGUGAAUCAUAGAAUCUUAGAACGCACCUUGCGCUCCUUGGUAUUCCGAGGAGCAUGCCUGUUUGAGUGUC